rfam:Aphanomyces astaci strain APO3 cont1.739, whole genome shotgun sequence.
GUCGCAUUAGCUCAGUUGGUAGAGCGUCAGUCUUUUAACCCAAAGGUCCCCGGUUCGAGUCCGGGUCCCGCCA